rnacentral:lncRNA from 1 species
AGAUUAGCAAGACACCCUCUCCUAGAGCUUCAGUUCCUUCUUUUUGCGUGGUGAGACAGUGACAAAUUCUGCUGUCACCAGAAGCCCCCAGAAUGUACACACUUCGGACUUUCUGCAAAGGAAUUGUGUGUCUCGGUGUGUUCGUUUUUCCCCCAGAUCGAGGCCCACCCGCCACUGCCCCUUCCUCCGAGACUGCCCCCUCCCGAGCAACGUCCGGUCCACCGGGAUGUGACUGUUCCCGACCUACUUCCCGAGAGGCGUGGGACCCUCUGGACUUGCUAGCCACCCGCCAGCUCCCAGCUGGGUUCUGCAGAGGCAGCAGACGUGUUUCUCCAUCUGGGUCCGGGCAGCUUGAAUGGACGAAGAGUCGAGCGGAUGGCUGGUGAACAGAAGCUGGCCAAAUGAAAAACUUCAGAGCCCACGGGUCCAACUGGGUGACCCAGGCAGAGCAGAUCAAGCGGCUCUCCGACCGGCCCUUCUCCUGAAUUGACAGGGGCAUUGCCAUUUUAUAUAUAAUGCAGUUAGACCUGAUGAGAAAUGGGUUCAGGUCUUCCAAGUUAAUGAAGACUUCUCCUCAAUUCCCUUCCCUCUCCCAUCACCUCCCCCUUCCCUGCCCCCUCCCCCCCAGCCCCCAAACUGGUCACUAUGCUGACCUAAAAUUCCUUCCCCUUAGACAUUGAGGCCUAUAAGAGGGCCCAGAUGGGAGGAACAGAGUUGGGAGGGAGAAAUGGCCAAGGAGGAAGGGGGAAAGGAGAGGGAAGUUGAGAAAAGGGAAUAAAGAAAGAAGGAUCGACAAGCAGCGUGAUCUAGUCGAAAGAGCAUGGGGCUGGGAGUCAGAAGGCCUGGAUUCUAAUCCUGCCUCUGCCCAUUGUUUGCUGGAGGACUUUGGGUAGGUCAUUUCACUUCUCUCUGCUUCCGUAGUCUCAUCUGGAAAAUGGGGAUUCGAUGCCUAUUUUCUCUCCUACUUAGACUGUGAACCAGGGACUGUGUAUGUCCUGAUUAACUUGUGUCUACCCCAACGCUUAGAACAGUACUUCACACCAAGUAAGUGCUUAAAAAAUACCAUAGUAAUGUGAAUAAUUACAGGAAAAAUAGGAAGGUCAGUGGAGAAAGGGGGAAUGAAAGGGGAGGAGGGGGAAAAGGGAAAGAGAGGAAGAGUAGAGGAGAGGGCCUACCCUCCGGUGCCACCAUCUCUACUGUCACCACCCAGGCGGCAGAAUCUAAGGUGCUUGCCCCAGACUUGCCCAUAUGAACGGCCCCAGUGGCCCCAGCUCUGUACAAGCCUGAACAAGGCACUCUUCACUCCACACUUCCUCCUGCCUCUUUAUAUGUAUCUAUAUAAUAAUGUUGGUAUUUGUUAAGCGCUUACUAUGUGCCGAGCACUGUUCUAAGCACUGGGGUAGAUACAGGUUAAUCAGGUCCCAUCGGGGCUCACAGUCUUAAUCUCCAUUUUCCAGAUGAGGUAACUGAGGCACAGAGAAGUUAAGUGACUUGCCCAAAGUCACACAGCUGACAAGUGGCGGAGCCAGGAUUAGAACCCAUGGCACCUCUGACUCCUAACCCGGGCUCUUUCCACUGAAUAUAGUAUUUGUCAAGCACUUACUACAUGCCAGGCACUGUAUUAAGCACUGGGGUAGAUAUGAGCUAAUCAGGUCAGACACAGUCUUCUGUCCCACAUGGGGCUCACAGUCAUAAUCUUCAUUUUCCAGAUGAGGGAACCAAGGCUCUGGAAAGUGAAGUGAUUUGCCCAAGGUCACACAGCAGACAAAUAGCGGAGUAGGAUUAGAACUCGGGUCCUUCUGACUCCCAGGCCCGUGCUCUAUCCACUACCCACCCUGUUUCCUUCUCUUGCUACCCUUCCCUUUCCCUCCCCCUCCACGUGGCAGAGAGAGUGACGCUUGCUGACACCAAUCUCCUUCCCUACAUCGGCUAAUUCUAUUGUACUGUACAAUCCCAAGCAUUUAGCACAGUGCUCUGCCCAUGAUAAGCACUCAAUAAAUACCACUGAUUGAUUGAUUGAUUGACCCAGUGUGCAGCUCUGUUUUCUGUACCCACUCUCAACUUGCCUGCCUAUAACUUCUUCUCACCAUU